GAGUCUUAGAAUUUAAGUCCUGAGAAGGAAGGAGAGAGAAGCUGGUGAGGAAAGUUGGCCUAUGGAAAAAUGAAACUAUGAAACACACAGACUCCUAGAAAAAUAAAGGUGCAAAUGUUUCUAGGCUCCCCCUAUCAUCUCUGUCCCUGAG